GAUCCUUCUACUAAUAAUAACUAACAAAUAAAAAAAAAUCGGCUUGUUUUUUAUUUUCAUACGCGUCUCGUGAUUUUUAUCUUCCGUUUUCAGACUUUUCUUUUCUCCUUAAUUCCUUCUUCUAUGAUAAUAAUAUUUCGACCUAAUUUAUCAUAUUUUAUUUAUUUCAUUCUAUUAAGUUUCUCUAUUAUUUCCGUGACGAAAAAAAUAUCAGUGUUCAUUGAUCUCAUCAUCAUCGUCUCAGAGUUCUCGAGAGAGAGGAUAAAUGCUAGCAAGAUCCUCUCUCUGUGUGACUGAGACACAGAUCUUAAUUUUAUUUUACCAAUUUUUUGAAUUUUUUUUUGAAUUUUUAGUUUGAGUUUCUGUGUGUGGUUUGUGUGAGAGAUGAGUUGUUUUUCUUGCUUUGUUUCUCGUCGGAAUAAAGAUGUUAGGAGGGUUGAAGUUGAUAAUGGUUCUCGAUCUGCUACUACUCCAGGAAAUGGUGGAACGAAUUCAUCAGAGGGUGAAUGGAAGAGAGAAUGUGCAGAGGGAAAGGGGAAGAGUGUGAUGGGUGGAAAAAGUAGAACUGCUGCGGCUAGUUUUGGUUUUCGGGAGCUUGCGACGGCGACAAGGGGUUUUAAUGAAGCCAAUAUGAUUGGGGAAGGUGGUUUUGGAAAAGUUUUCAAGGGUCGUCUUUCAACGGGCGAGCUUGUUGCGGUUAAACAAUUAUGUCAUGAUGGUCGUCAAGGUUUUCAGGAGUUUGUGACGGAGGUUCUUAUGCUAAGUCUGUUGCAUCAUUCUAACCUUGUUAAGUUGAUUGGCUAUUGCACUGAUGGAGAUCAAAGGCUUUUGGUUUAUGAAUAUAUGCCUAUGAGAUGUCUUGAAAAUCAUCUUUUCGAUGUUCCCCAUGACAAAGAACCUCUAAAUUGGCAUUCUCGCAUGAAGAUUGCUGUUGGAGCAGCUCGGGGCCUUGAGUAUCUCCAUUGUAAAGCGGAUCCGCCUGUUAUCUAUCGAGAUUUGAAGUCUGCUAACAUCUUAUUAGACAAUGACUUCAGCGCAAAGCUGUCAGAUUUUGGGCUUGCUAAACUAGGACCUGUUGGAGACAAUACUCAUGUUUCAACCAGAGUAAUGGGUACAUACGGGUACUGUGCGCCAGAAUAUGCGAUGAGUGGCAAAUUAACUCUCAAAUCUGAUAUCUACAGCUUUGGUGUCGUUUUGUUGGAGUUGAUCACUGGUCGCAGGGCAAUAGACUCUAAUAAAAAACCAGGAGAGCAAAACUUAGUUUCAUGGUCUCGCCCGUAUUUUAGUGACCGGAGAAAGUUUGUACAUAUGGCUGACCCUCUUCUGCAAGGACAAUUCCCAGUCCGGUGUUUGCAUCAAGCAAUUGCUAUAACUGCUAUGUGUCUCCAGGAGCAACCGAAAUUCCGUCCACUCAUUGGUGAUAUUGUUGUUGCACUGGAAUACCUAGCUUCUCAGAGUAUUGAACCCCAUAGAUAUGGUGCGCGCAGCCCAUAGUAUUGAAGCCCAUAAAUAUGGUGCGUGCCGCCCACCGCUGCAACCAUCUUCCAAAAUGGACAUAUUAAUUUUUACAGUGUUUGGUUUUCACAACAUUGAUUUUGCAACUCGACGAGGCUGGAGCUGGAGUGUCACUGAGUGACAGUCAAAGCUCUGUUAUAAAGUAAAGGAAAAUGCUAACAAGUGUUAUCGGGCAUUAUUUAAGAAACAAAAAAGGAAACAUCUAUAUAGAAAUUGAUAUAUUUAUGAUUUCGAGUGUUUUACUUGUAUUUCCUAAACAAAGUUUCUUUUUCUUGAGUUUCUUAAACAAUGCCAUUAGUGCACUCGUUAGUAUGAUCCUAAAGAUAAUUAAUGUAAGGUUCUGUUUAACUUGCGGGAGCUUCUCAAUUAAAGAUAAAUAUAUGAUUAGUAUGGCCACCACAUGAAACAGUCCUUAAGUUAAACCUAUAGCAAACGUUGUAUGUUUAAAAGGACUCAGAAGUUAUUAGAGGAAUCAUCUUAGUAAUGACUGUUUUCUGUAACUACUUUUGUACUUGGUUUAAGUGAAAUAACUCUCAAAGUCUAUGCGAGAAAACCUGUCCUUGGUAGUUGGUAUGUCCCUUUCAUUUUUGAAUAACAACAGGAAAACAAUAAGGAUAGAGGACAACCAGGACAUUUUUUCUUUAUUGUAGUACUUCAUCUGGUUUAUCUGUUAUUUAUAUUUUUUAAUGUGUAAAACUUUGUAAUUAUGUUCAUCAGGUUCUGUUUAAAUAUUCAAAUAUUAUUUUCUA